CCUUGUGGAGGAGGACGCCGAAGGUGGGGCUAAUGACUGGGGUGAAGUCGUAACAAGGUAGCCGUACCGGAAGGUGCGGCUGGAUCACCUCCUAACAGGGAGACAACAAAAUGUUUAAUGUAUUAUUUUGUCACCUUAGGUCGAUCGGUAUCUCACGUUUUUAAUUUAUUAAAAAUUUCAUUUCCUAAGUUUUUCUAGGUCACACCCAUUAUUUUUCCUGGGCCAUUAGCUCAGGUGGUUAGAGCGCACCCCUGAUAAGGGUGAGGUCCCUGGUUCAAGUCCAGGAUGGCCCAUAUCUCUAUGUUGGGGGUAUAGCUCAGUUGGUAGAGCGCCUGCUUUGCAAGCAGGAUGUCAGCGGUUCGAGUCCGCUUACCUCCACUGAUUACCACCUCUUCCAUAACCGGUAGAAAGGAAAUGUUUUGAGUUGUGAUCAAAUUCUGAAAGAAUCUAGCUUCCUAAUGAAAUCAUUAAGAUGCUGGAUUCAUUGAAUUAAUUUCAUUGUUUUCAGAGAACCUUGACAACUGCAUAGAUUAUUUUUAAAGACAAUAAGCAUCUUUAAUGAUGCAGAUUUAUUAUUUGUGCGAAUGCAUUAAUAACAAUUCUAUUAAGCUGAUGCUUCAAUUUUUGAAGUUAUUGGUCAAGCUACAAAGGGCUCACGGAGGAUACCUAG
rnacentral:misc_RNA from 1 species